rnacentral:rRNA from 1 species
GAUGAACGCUAGCGGCAGGCCUAACACAUGCAAGUCGAGGGAGAAGCCCUUUCGGGGGCAGAAACCGGCGCACGGGUGCGUAACGCGUAUGCAACCUACCUUUCACAGGGGGAUAGCCCGAAGAAAUUUGGAUUAAUACCCCAUAAUAUUAUUGGAUGGCAUCAUUUGAUAAUUAAAACUGCGGUGGUGAAAGAUGGGCAUGCGUCCUAUUAGCUAGUUGGAGUGGUAACGGCACCCCAAGGCUACGAUAGGUAGGGGUCCUGAGAGGGAGAUCCCCCACACUGGUACUGAGACAGGGACCAGACUCCUACGGGAGGCAGCAGUGAGGAAUAUUGGUCAAUGGACGGAAGACUGAACCAGCCAUGCCGCGUGCAGGAAGAAUGCCUUAUGGGUUGUAAACUGCUUUUAUAUGGGAAGAAUAAGGUGUACGUGUACAUUGAUGACGGUACCAUAUGAAUAAGCAUCGGCUAACUCCGUG